rnacentral:rRNA from 1 species
UGACGUAGGGGGCUAAGCGGUUGUCCGGAGUUUACUGGGACGUAAAGCGCACGUAGGCGGAUCGUUAAGUCAGGGGUGAAAUCCCGGAGCUCAACUCCGGAACUGCCUUUGAUACUGGCAAUCUAGAGUCCGGGAAGAGGUGAGUGGAACUCCUAGUGUAGAGGUGGAAUUCGUAGAUAUUAGGAAGAACACCAGUGGCGAAGGCGGCUCACUGGUCCGGUACUGACGCUGAGGUGCGAAAGCGUGGGGAGCAAACAGG